rnacentral:lncRNA from 1 species
AAAAAGUGUUUUUGAGUGUUGAAGGAAAAGGGUGAUUUCAAGAUGCCUUUGGAUAUGUAUAGACUUAGUUUUUGAAUGAUAAAGAUAAGAAAGCCAUGCAUGUUUACUGAAGGGAUUUUUAUAUGAAAAACUAUAGGUGUAAGUUAAGUGCAUCUUAAUUGCUAGGCAUGUCUUCCCUAAAGACCUCUUAUGGAAAUAAUACAACUUUUGAAUGAAGUUAAACCAACCUCACAAAAUUCACGGGAUAUAUGCCUUUUUGACUUAAUUUGAAAAUUAAAGUCUGAUUUUUUUAUAUUUAUGGACAAAAGCAUUUUGAACUAAUUUGAAAUGUAUGUAACACGUAUUCAUAGAGCCCUUUCCUCCCCCUCUUCCAAGGGACAAUA